AAGACACUAGUAAAAUGAAAAUUACGCUGCUUUGUCAAGGCAAAAUUGCGGGUUAGACCCCCGCGUGUUUUA
rnacentral:tRNA from 1 species